CAAGGAGACCGAGUUUUUGCUUG
rnacentral:siRNA from 1 species